rnacentral:rRNA from 1 species
GUACUAAGGUAGCAUAAUCAAUUGUCUUUUAAUUGAAGAAUGGAAUGAAAGAAUUAAUGAAAUAUAUACUGUCUCAAUUAUAAAAAUUAAUUUAAAUUUUUAGUUAAAAUGCUAAAUUUAAAUUAUGGGACGAUAAGACCCUAUAGAAUUUUAUAUUAAAUUAUUUAUAAUAAUUAAUUAUUAAAUUAUUAUAAAUAAUUUGAUAUUUAAUUGGGAGGAUUUAUAAAUUUAAUAAACUUUAUAUUAAUAAUUAAACUUUGAUUUAAGAAAAUUUAAUUUGAUAUAGUAGUAUUAAUUAAAAAAAAAAAUUACCUUAGGGAUAACAGCGUAAUAUCUUUUUAAAGUACAAAUUAAUAA